rnacentral:piRNA from 1 species
AGAACAAUUAUGAGCCUUACACU